ACGGAAGGCAGCAGUGAGGAAUAUUGGUCAAUGGGCGGAAGCCUGAACCAGCCAAGUCGCGUGAAGGAUGAAGGUAUUAUGUAUUGUAAACUUCUUUAGACGUAGAGAAAUAAGGGUGUCGUGACACUUGAUGCUAGUAUACGUAGAAUAAGGAUCGGCUAACUCCGUGCCAGCAGCCGCGGUAAUACGGAGGAUCCGAGCGUUAUCCGGAUUUAUUGGGUUUAAAGGGAGCGUAGGCGGAUUUUUAAGUCAGUGGUAAAAGCGUGUGGCUCAACCGUACCACGCCAUUGAAACUGGAAGUCUUGAGUGCACACAGGGAUGCUGGAAUUCGUCGUGUAGCGGUGAAAUGCUUAGAUAUGACGAAGAACUCCGAUCGCGAAGGCAGGUGUCCGGGGUGUAACUGACGCUGAGGCUCGAAAGUGCGGGUAUCAAACAGGAUUAGAUACCCUGGUA
rnacentral:rRNA from 1 species